AAUAUUUGCUUAUCUGAUUCUGAGGUUUAUUUCCCUUUGCUUACAGGUGAUAAUACAGUUGGUCUGAAUGAUUUGAUGGAUGCUCUCAGUUAUAUCAAGGGUGAGUUGCGAGCUAUGAUGAAAAGAUGUCAUAAAUAGCGUCUUAAUAUUUUGCAGUUGGUGGAGAAAAAUAUAUCCCCUUAUAAAUGUUUAAAUUCUUUCAUAUAUGUUCCAGUUUUGUGGAUGCUACUGAAAUUGGGUAAACAGUAAUUAAUCUGUACUUAUAUAUCAAUACCCAUAAUAUUCUCUGACGUUUUCCCCAAAAGGAUUCUUCAACAUAGUUACAGAUCUCAAGAGCCACAGAACUAUUCAUUUUCCCCAUUAACCCCAAUCCUGGAAAUUUAUCCUGUGGAAAUAACUUAAUUGAAUAAAAGAAAAAAAUCUCUUCCUAAAGACCUUCAGGGAAAUUUGAAACAGCCUAAAUAUCUAACAGUAUGGGAAUACCAAAUAAGUCAUGGAGAGGUGAUUGAUAUCCAGGACUUAGACAACUUUCUAGCAAAUGAGGGGGUUGAGCUCACAGAAGAAGAAAUGAAGAAACUAAUACCUCAUUUGACAUCCAAUGAACAUGGGAACGUUAAAGUGCAUUCAAUAAUGGAGGGCCUGAAGAAGUUUAAAUGAAUGGUGCCUCUACAGAAGUUGAUGAAAAUCACAAAUGAUACUAAAGGACUGACCCAAAAACAUAUCUGCUAAAAAAAAAGAAAAGAAAAGCACAAGGACUCAGAAUCCAUGCCCAUUUGCUUGUCAAGCUCUAUGAGUGGAAAUAAUAAACAACAGGCUGGCCCCAAACUUAAGUCCUAACCCCAAAGCACCUUCCAUCUAUCCAGUGCACCAAGCUGUGGAACCCAACUUAUGUCCUGGGACCAUCAGCCCUACAGAUAAGUAUCAUACCAGUCCACCAAUUCUAAACUACCUAGGAUAUGCCCACCAGUAAAUUAAGUGAAAUCAGCCCUUCAUCCCAUUUGGUUCUGAAUAGAUGAGUAUUGAUGUAGCUAAAUUAUAAUACAUACCUACUCCCCAGGAUAGUUUAGUUCCUUAUGUAUUCCACCCUAUUAAUUUUGAUGAUUUUUGUCACCACUGUUCACUCACAGA
rnacentral:lncRNA from 1 species